AUUGAACGCUGGCGGCAUGCCUUACACAUGCAAGUCGAACGGCAGCAUGAUCUAGCUUGCUAGAUUGAUGGCGAGUGGCGAACGGGUGAGUAAUACAUCGGAACGUGCCCUGUAGUGGGGGAUAAUUAGUCGAAAGAUUAGCUAAUACCGCAUACGACCUGAGGGUGAAAGUGGGGGACCGCAAGGCCUCAUGCUAUAGGAGCGGCCGAUGUCUGAUUAGGUAGUUGGUGAGGUAAAGGCUCACCAAGGCGACGAUCAGUAGCUGGUCUGAGAGGACGAUCAGCCAGACUGGGACUGAGACACGGCCCAGACUCCUACGGGAGGCAGCAGUGGGGAAUUUUGGACAAUGGGGGCAACCCUGAUCCAGCAAUGCCGCGUGUGUGAAGAAGGCCUUCGGGUUGUAAAGCACUUUUGUCCGGAAAGAAAUCGCACUUACUAAUAUUAGGUGUGGAUGACGGUACCGGAAGAAUAAGGACCGGCUAACUACGUGCCAGCCGCCGCCGUAAGAC
rnacentral:rRNA from 1 species